GCUUGUCUCAAAGAUUAAGCCAUGCAUGUCUAAGUAUAAGCACUUAUACCGUGAAACUGCGAAUGGCUCAUUAUAUCAGUUAUAGUUUAUUUGAUAGUCCCUACUACUUGGAUAACCGUAGUAAUUCUAGAGCUAAUACAUGCGUUAAGUCCUGUCAAAAGGAUGCACUUAUUAGAUACAACCAACCCUUCGGGUCACUGGUGAAUCAUAGUAAUUGAGCGAACCGAAUGCGAAAGCGUCGGUGGUUCAUUCAAGUUUCUGCCCUAUCAGCUUUCGAUGGUAGGGUAUUGGCCUACCAUGGCGUUAACGGGUAACGGAGAAUUAGGGUUCGAUUCCGGAGAGGGAGCCUGAGAGAUGGCUACCACAUCCAAGGAAGGCAGCAGG
rnacentral:rRNA from 1 species